rnacentral:rRNA from 1 species
GAUGAACGCUGGCGGCGUGCCUAAUACAUGCAAGUCGAGCGAACAGAUGAGAAGCUUGCUUCUCUGAUGUUAGCGGCGGACGGGUGAGUAACACGUGGGUAACCUACCUAUAAGACUGGGAUAACUCCGGGAAACCGGGGCUAAUACCGGAUAAUAUUUUGAACCGCAUGGUUCAAUAGUGAAAGACGGUUUCUGCUGUCACUUAUAGAUGGACCCGCGCCGUAUUAGCUAGUUGGUAAGGUAACGGCUUACCAAGGCGACGAUACGUAGCCGACCUGAGAGGGUGAUCGGCCACACUGGAACUGAGACACGGUCCAGACUCCUACGGGAGGCAGCAGUAGGGAAUCUUCCGCAAUGGGCGAAAGCCUGACGGAGCAACGCCGCGUGAGUGAUGAAGGUCUUCGGAUCGUAAAACUCUGUUGUUAGGGAAGAACAAAUUUGUUAGUAACCGAACAAAUCUUGACGGUACCUAACCAGAAAGCCACGGCUAACUACGUGCCAGCAGCCGCCGUAA